rnacentral:rRNA from 1 species
CAGUCGCCGCGGUAAUACGUAGGUCCCGAGCGUUGUCCGGAUUUAUUGGGCGUAAAGCGAGCGCAGGCGGUUAGAUAAGUCUGAAGUUAAAGGCUGUGGCUUAACCAUAGUACGCUUUGGAAACUGUUUAACUUGAGUGCAAGAGGGGAGAGUGGAAUUCCAUGUGUAGCGGUGAAAUGCGUAGAUAUAUGGAGGAACACCGGUGGCGAAAGCGGCUCUCUGGUCUGUAACUGACGCUGAGGCUCGAAAGCGUGGGGAGCAAACAGGAUUAGAUACCCCGGUAGUCCCUGUCUCUUAUACA